GGACUAACUGUGUUUGAUGGGAGUCUGCUGGGUUUGACUUGGAAACAGGUGUCCUAUUCAUUCCCGAGAGUGUGUUCAGGUGCUCACCUGGGGUGCCAGACUAGAAGCUGGAAGCCGUGUUCCUUCCCAAGACCUGUUAGAAGAGCUGAGUCCUCGAAGACAAAUGUCACCCUCUCACAAUAAAUGUCCUGACUGCCACGUCUUUGCGGUGGAGCAGAAUUGCCAGACUAAACCGUGCUUAGAUUUUUCUCGUGUGGCACGGGUAUUUUCUUUGGAAGCACUGGAUUCACUAAUUGGUGAUGAGUCUAUACGAUGUGGAAUGAAGAGACUACACCCACCCUGGAAGGGGCUGUGUGCUUCCACUGUGACUGGAAUAAUCUCUGGAAGAGUCUUUGGGAGACCCUGGUUUCUGGAGUACUUACUGGGAGAAAGGCCACAACUGCAGAGCUACACACAGGCCUACUACAGGCAGAGACCACUCCAUAAAGUCGCCACUGGUGAAAAUACAACCUGUAAAAAAGGACAACCAGCCGUGGGAUGCCCAGCCCCAGCUGAUCCAUCUACAGCACAACUUUGACGCCUAGGCUCAGAGGACAUUGAGGAAGAGGGGGUAGAAAGAGCUGGGGAGACAGAACAUCUGCCAUGGGGCUGUGUCUCUGCAUACGACAGACAACCCACACCCAUGAAGCCUCACCAGUGUAGCUGCUUCCACAAGACCCGGACAAGGACAAUACCGGUUGCCAUACCAACGCAGAAGGAGGAAAUUUCAAGAGGCACCAGCAACAGGACCUCACUGAAGUAGCACACCAAGAACAAACACCCUCAUAGAUGCAUGAAAGAUGACACAACUGCUCACUGUAGCAAGAAAAGGACUCAAAGGGUGCGCCAGGGUGCAGGACGGCUUCAAAGUGUCUGCUGCGUUGGCUCCACCGAUGGCUGGGAAGACUCCAAGCAGUGUUAUUCUUGGUACACUUCUCAACCUCUGCCUUUUACCCAUCCACAUUUAUGCGCGGGUCCGAGCAGCAAGUCGCGAUUAACAGAGCACGUAUCAGUGACAAGAGUGACAGAGUAGAGUGACGAGUAGCUGCAUUGUCAUCAGUGUAGCCCAGAGCUGCGCUCUGAUCUACAAAGGGCUGGGCAGAACAAUCCGGAUUUCUUUGUCAUCGUCUUAAAUACGUCUGCACGGCUGGAGAUAGAUGAUGUGACCCAAUGCUCUCAUUUUGUAGGGUUUUCACUAAGAUGAUGCCUGAUUUGUGCCUGCUAUUUUUUCUAGCCCCAACUUGACUGAGUCCUCGAUUUCUUAUCUAAGGCUUUGGAAGCCUCCAGGGAGGUGAAUGUCUCUACCUGCUCCUCACCCCUAACUCCUUAAGAAAACAGACUUUUCUUUAUGGUAGAAAAAGCACAGGUUUGCUGAACUGUCCUGAAUCCUGAAACCACAGGUCUGGAGUACACUGUCUACUGCUCUGCUCUUUCUGAAACAGUGUGGGAUUCCCCUGACUCUGAAGACCGUUGGAGAUAGCGGUAAAGGAGGAGACCCCGUGUAGGAGGAAAGUGAUGGUGCCUGGGGUUCUGCUCAGCUCCGGGGCUCCCUUGCUUGCUGGGAAGUCUCCUCUCCUCCAAAUAUGUCAAAUAAUGAUAAUCACACCAAUACUUACUGUUUACAAGAUCUGGUUCCAGCCUAUGAGGAUGACCCCAGUGAUGACUCCUAGUAAUGGGGGCUACGGAGCCGGGCCCAGCCAUCUUUGGUAACCUGGUGAGGCUCUCACUGGUGGGACCGGGAGGCAAAUCCUUCAACCCACAUCCAUCCUGCCUUCAGGAUGUGCUGGGACAAGGGUGGCUCAGAGCUUGUGGAAGUGACGCCAAUGACUGAUUGGUCUAACUUGAGGCUGAAGCCAGGAGAGGGAGCCCAGGCCCAUCACUGCCUUGACGGCUAGGAAACAGAAGCUGGAUGGCUUGAGACCUAGGGUAGAACAAAAUACAACUGACAAAAGAAAAGUCAAUGAAGUGAUUUCUAAAGAUACUCUGCUGCACUCUUAGAUAGGUGUUUAGCCCAAUCGUCACCAGAGGGGCUUCCUUUGGCAGCUGAUGGGUGCAGAUGCAGAGACCCACACACAAACUCCAGGCAGAACUUGGGGAACCCCAUGGAAGAUGGGUAGGAAGGUUUGUAAGAGGGGUCUGGGACACUAGGAGAACAAGGCCCAUAGAAUCAACUAAGCAGGCCUCAUAGAGGCUCACAGAGACUUAAGUAACAAUCAUGGUUGUUUAGCUUUGGGUGUCUGUGGAACUCCUUACAGGAGGA